GCAGCCACUUCAUCUUCUCUUCCUUCUGCUCGAGCACCACCAUCACCAUAUCAGUGAUACCAGUGCCACUAUAUACGUUCUUCUUUUUCUUAAAUCAACUUUCCUUAUAACCCUCUUGUUUAUCUCUACAGUAGAACCCUAGAUCCAGGAUUUCUAUUUUUGUUACCUAGGGUUUCGAAUUACAGAGAUGAACAAGAGAUUACUUAGAUCGAUCUACAGGAGGUUGCAUAAUUGAAAAACAAAGGUUGCAAAUCAUUUCGAUUGAUAUACAUGAGGUUCUUCAUCAUUCGAUUACUUCGAUUGAUGAUUGUUUUUACAAGCCAUUAGAAGGUGGACCAGCUAAAAAAAUACCCAAGAGUGUAAAACCAUUGGAUAGUUUAUCUGCUGUUUUAUAUAUUGGCAAAAUUACUGAUUGUUUCUAUGAAAAGGAAAUGGAAGACAAGAUUGCAAGCACAGGCUGUGGUUUUUCCAUACCCAAAUGUAACCUAAUAUAUUUUUGUUCAGGUGACAAUGUCUGGGAUGAACGGGGGUAUGUAUUUGUCUAUCUAGCAUCUCCUUCUAUUUCCUUCCUCUGAAGUCUCACUGACUAAUUUGUCAAUACAAGGGUGUGUCCGCGCUAGAAUGAUGUCUGAAAAUCAAUGAUUUUGAGAUGUAGUCCACAUGCUCGUGUGGCACUAUUAGGUGCAUCAUUCUCAUAUGCCAUCCCGAUCUUUUUACAUACAAGUGGAUGCUAGAUGCUUUCAGUUAAAUUAUUCAACAGGCUUAGAGUAAGAGGAGAGAAACCAAAAUCCAGUCCUUGUUUGUAGUAUCUGAGGAGUUGAUUUUGUAUGUGUUUGUGUAGCUAAAAGUUCCUUGAUAGUCGACCGUGAUGGGAAAAGUAAAGAGAAAGAUCUGCUUGUAGUUUGCUUUGGCGAGAUGUUGAUUGAUUUUGUUCCAACUGUUGGUGGAGUUUCACUUGCAGAAGCACCAGGUGGAGCUCCUGUUAAUGUUGCUGUUGGAAUAACAAGGCUUGGUGGUUCAACAACAUUUGUUUGAACGGUAGGAGAUGAUGAAUUUGGACAUAUGGUGUCCGACAUCUUGAAGCAAAACAAUGUGGAUAAUUCUGGAGUUUGUUUGGACUACAAAGCGUUAACUGCACUGGCAUUUGUAUCACCGAGAGCUGAUGGUGAACUGAGUUUAUGUUUUUCCGCACUCCAAGUGAAGAUAUGCUUCUGUGUGAAUCAGAACUUAAUAAAGACCUUCUGAAGAAGGCAUAUGUCUUUCACUCUGGCUCUGUGAGUUUGAUCGAGGAACCUUGCAGAUCAACACAGCUCGCUGCUAUAAAGAUAGCUAAGAAGGCUGGUUGUAUCCUCUCUUAUGAUCCAAAUUUGAGACUGGCUCGGUGGCCAUUGCCUGCAGCUUCUAAGAAAGAAAUCAUAAGCAAUUAAGGGGAGUGCUAGAAAGGAAACCAUUCGACUCUGCUGCUGCCAUUGUUCUUAUUUCUGCAGCCAUUGUUCUUAUUUCUACGCAAUUACGCUUUGUGGUUUAUUUAUUUUCCUACGCAAGUACGCUUUGAGGUUGUUCUUGAAUCAGACUUUAUAUUGUUGUUGCCGGACAAUUUGCUUACCAUAUUUAUCUUUACUAUAGUUGAAUGUAAUCUGAAUUUCAAGUGCUAAUAAGAUUUUAGAUGUUCAAACA